CUAUAUUUUUCGCUAUUUUGCUUGCUGUUGAAACGUGCGCUUGUGCAAUUCUGAAUGAUCUUUAGAAGAGGAGCAGACGCAAUGAUGAUGAUGGCAAGAGGAUGCAAAGACGACUAGAGUGGGAAGGAAGAACA
ensembl:ncRNA T01B10.10 ncRNA